AGGUUAAGUUAGAAGGGCGCACGGUGAGAAUGCCCUUGGCACUAGGAGCCGAAGAAGGACGCGACGAACAGCGAUAUGCCUCCCGGGGAGUUGUAAGUAAACUUUGGUCAGGGAUUUCCGAAUGGGGGAACCCACCAUCCGUAAUGGGAUGGUAUCCUCAACUGAAUACAUAGGUUAUGAGAAGGUAGACCUGGGGAACUGAAACAUCUAAGCCCAGAGGAAGAGAAAGAAAUAUUCGAUUACCUGAGUAGCGGCGAGCGAAACGGUAACAGCCCAAACCAAAGGGCUUGCCCCUUGGGGUUGGACACUCUACACGGAGUUACAAAGAAAUGAAGUAGACGAAGCGAUCUGGAAAGGUCCGCGAAACAAGGUAACAACCCUGUAAUCGAAACUUCGUUUCCUCCAGAGUGUAUCCUGAGUACGGCGGGACACGUGAAACCCCGUCAGGAUCAGGAGGACCAUCUCCCAAGGCUAAAUACUUCUAGUGACCGAUAGUGAACCAGUACCGUGAGGGGAAAGGUGAAAGCACCCCGGGAGGGGAGUGAAAGAGAUCCUGAAACCGUGUGCCUACAAGCAAGUAGUUGGAGCCCAUUAACGGAGUGACGCGUACUUAUUUUGUAGAAUGAACCGGCGAGUUACGAUUACGUGCAAGGUUAAGCUGAUAAGGCGGAGCCGCAGCGAAGCGAGUCUGAAUAGGGCGAAUGAGUACGUGGUCGUAGACCCGAAACCGUGUGAUCUACCCAAUGUCCAGGGUGAAGUUCAGGUAACACUGAAUGGAGGGCCCGAACCCACGCACGUUGAAAAGUGCGGGGAUGAGGGGUGUGGGGUAGGGGUGAAAUGCCAAUCGAACUCGGGAGAUAGCUGGUUCUCCCCGAAAUAGCUUUAGGGCUAGCCUCGAGUAUUGGAGGUAGAGCACUGAUUGUUACAGGGUCCCCACAGGAUUACCGAAUUCAGUCAAACUCCGAAUGCCAAAUACUUAUCCUCGGGAGUCAGACUGCGAGUGCUAAGAUCCGUAGUCGAAACAGCCCAGACCAUCAGCUAAGGUCCCCAAGUAUACGUUAAGGAAGUGGAGAAGGAUGUGGAGUUGCCCAGACAACCAGGAUGUUAAACAGCAGCCACCAUUUAAAGAGUGCGUAAUAGCUCACUGGUCGAGUGACUCUGCGCCGAAAAUGUACCGGGGCUAAACGUAUCACCGAAGCUAUGGAUUGACACCUAAGGGUGUCAGUGGUAAGAACGUUCUAAGUGCUGUGAAGUCAGACCGGGACUGGUGGAGCGCUUAGAAGUGAGAAUGCCGGUAUGAGUAGCGAAAAAGAGGGGUGAAGAUCCCCUCCGUCAGCCAAGGUUUCCUGAGGAAGGCUCGUCCGCUCAGGGUAAGUCGGGACCUAAGCCGAGGCUGAAAAGCGUAGGCGAUGGACAACAGGUUGAGGAAUUCCUGUACCACCUCCUCACCGUUUGAGCAAUGGGGGGACGCAGCAAGGUAAAUUUAAGCGCACUGAUGGAUAUGUGCGUCCAAGCAAUUAGGCUGAAGUAGAGCCAAAUCCGCUUCUCGCGUGUGCUGAGUUGUGAUGGCGAGCGAAAUUAUAGUAGCGAAGUUCCUGAUCCUACACUGCCAAGAAAAGCCUCUCUAGCGAGGUGAGAGGUGCCCGUACCGCAAACCGACACAGGUAGGCGAGAAGAGAAUUCCUAGACGCUCGGGAGAACUCUCGUUAAGGAACUCGGCAAAAUGACCCCGUAACUUCGGGAGAAGGGGUGCUCUGUUAGGGUGUUCGCGCCCGAGAGAGCCGCAAUGAAUAGAUCCAAGCAGCUGUUUAGCAAAAACACAGGUCUCUGCGAAGCCGCAAGGCGAAGUAUAGGGGCUGACCUGCCCGGUGCUGGAAGGUUAAGAGGAGGGUUAUCCUUAAGGAGAAGCUCUGAAUUGAAGCCCCAGUAAACGGCGGCCGUAACUAUAACACGGUCCUAGGUAGCGAAAUUCCUUGUCGGGUAAGUUCCGACCCGCACGAAUGGUGUAACGAUUUGGAUACUGUCUCAACAAGGGGCUGGUAAAUUACCAUAUAUUACCUGUGAAGAUGCAGGUUUUACGACAGGACGGAAAGACCCCAUGGAGCUUUACUGUAGCUUGAUAUUGGAUUUGGUACAAUUUGUACAGGAUAGCGAUUAGGAGCCUUUGAAGCGUGAGCGCCAGCUUACGUGGAGGCGUCGGUGGGAUACUACCCUGAUUGUAUUGAAAUUCUAACCUAGGACCGUGAUCCGGUUCGGGGACAGUGUCAGGUGGGCAGUUUGACUGGGGCGGUCGCCUCUAAAGCGGUAACGGAGCGCCCAAGGUUCCCUCAGAAUGGUUGGAAAUCGUUCAGCCAGGUGCAAAGGCAUGGGAGCUUGACUGCGAGACCUACAAGUCGAGCAGGGACGAAAAGUCGGGCUUUAGUGAUCCGGUGGUUCCGCAUGGAAGGGCCAUCGCUCAACGGAUAAAAGCUACCCUGGGGAUAACAGGCUUAUCUCCCCAAAGUCCACAUCGACGAGGAGGUUUGGCACCUCGAUGUCGGCUCAUCGCAUCCUGGGGCUGAAGUAGGUCCCAAGGGUUGGGCUGUUCGCCCAUUAAAGCGGUACGCGAGCUGGGUUCAGAACGUCGUGAGACAGUUCGGUCCCUAUCCGUCGCGGGCGUAGGAGAUUUGAAGAGAGGAAGCUUGUCCUUAGUACGAGAAGGCCGGGAUGGACAUACCGCUGGUGUGCCAGUUGUUCCUUAGAGAGCAUAGCUGCGUGCUUUACGGUAUGGAAGGGAUAAGUGCUGAAAGCAUCUAAGCAUGAAGCCCCCUCAAGAUGGUCCCGCGGGUUAAUCCAGUAAGACCCCUUAAAGAUGAUGAGGUUGAUGGGUCUCGGGGUGGAAGCACGGUGACGUGCUGGGCUAGAGAGAAUGCUGUCGGUCGAGGACUUAUCCUAA
rnacentral:rRNA from 1 species